rnacentral:tRNA from 1 species
GCCUGGGUGGCUCAGUCAGUUAAGCAUCUGACUCUUGGUUUGGGCUCAGGUCUUGAUCUCAGUUUGUGGGUUCGAGCCCCACAUCAGGCU